rnacentral:rRNA from 1 species
CCCUUAGAUGUUCUGGGCCGCACGCGCGCUACACUGAUGCAUUCAACGAGUCUAAAACCUGCUCUGAUAGGAGUGGGUAAUCUUUUGAAUGUGCAUCGUGAUUGGGAUAGAUGAUUGCAAUUUUUCAUCUUCAACGAGGAAUGCCUAGUAAACGCAAGUCAUCAGCUUGCAUUGAUUACGUCCCUGCCCUUUGUACACACCGCCCGUCGCUCCUACCGAUUGAAUGAUCCGAUGAAUAUCAUGGAUUGAGGAUGCAAGCAGGUUCGCCUGUCUUCAUCUUCGAGAAGUGAAGUAAAUCUUAUCAUUUAGAGGAAGGAGAAGUCGUAACA